ACGGAGGGCGCAAGCGUUGUUCGGAAUUACUGGGCGUAAAGCGCACGCAGGCGGUCUGCUAAGUCCUAUGUGAAAGCCCGGGGCUCAACCCCGGAAUUGCAUGGGAUACUGGUAGACUGGAGACUGGUAGAGGCUAGCGGAAUUCCUGGUGUAGCGGUGGAAUGCGUAGAUAUCAGGAAGAACACCUGUGGCGAAGGCGGCUAGCUGGGCCAGUUCUGACGCUCAUGUGCGAAAGCGUGGGGAGCAAACAGG
rnacentral:rRNA from 1 species